GUGCUGCACAAUUUUUAUCAGAUUUAUGCGCGAAACAAAAGCCUCUCGCGGAGAGCUCCGCCAAAUCCGGUCUUCUUUUUUCCUUGCCUAUCGGAUUUCACAAACAUUCAGUUUGUCACUUGAC
ensembl:ncRNA C18A3.18 ncRNA